rnacentral:rRNA from 1 species
CACCGCGGUUAUACGAGAGACCCAAAUUGAUAAAAAACGGCGUAAAGGGUGGUUAGAAUCAAUUUAAAUUAAGGCCGAACUUACCCCCGGCUGUUAUACGCUAUGGAAUAAAGAAGCCCAUAAACGAAGGUAGCCUUAUUUGGUUGAACCCACGAAAGCUAGGAAA